AACGAACGCUGGCGGCAGGCCUAACACAUGCAAGUCGAGCGCUCUCUUCGGAGGGAGCGGCGGACGGGUGAGUAACGCGUGGGAACGUACCCUCUUCUGCGGAAUAAUCAUUGGAAACGGUGACUAAUACCGCAUACGCCCUUCGGGGGAAAGAUUUAUCGGAGGAGGAUCGGCCCGCGUUGGAUUAGGUAGUUGGUGGGGUAAUGGCCUACCAAGCCUACGAUCCAUAGCUGGUUUGAGAGGAUGAUCAGCCACACUGGGACUGAGACACGGCCCAGACUCCUACGGGAGGCAGCAGUGGGGAAUCUUAGACAAUGGGGCAACCCUGAUCUAGCCAUGCCGCGUGAGUGAAGAAGGUCUUAGGAUCGUAAAGCUCUUUCGCCUGUGAAGAUAAUGACUGUAGCAGGUAAAGAACCCCCGGUAAACUCCGUGCCAGCAGCCGCGGU
rnacentral:rRNA from 1 species